rnacentral:rRNA from 1 species
GGUCAGGAUAACGCUAGCGGCAGGCCUUAUACAUGCAAGUCGAGGGGUAACACGACGCUUCGGUGUGAUGACGACCGGCGCACGGGUGCGUAACGCGCAUGCAAUCUACUUACAGCAGAGGGAUAGCCCGUGGAAACAUGGAGUCAUACUUCAUAAUACAGGGGUCCCGCAUGGGGAUAUUGCUAAAGAUUUAUCGGCCGUAGAUGCGCAUGCGUCGCAUUAGCUAGUUGGUACGGUAGCGGCGUACCAAGCCGAUGAUAGGUAGAGGUUCUGAGAGGAUGAUCCCCCACACUGGUACUGAGAUACGGACCAGACUCCUACGGGAGGCAGCAGUAGGGAAUAUUGGACAAUGGAGGCAACUCUGAUCCAGCCAUGCCGCGUGCAGGAAGACUGCCCUAUGGGUUGUAAACUGCUUUUAUACAGGAAGAAACCGCUCUACGUGUAGAGCUCUGACGGUACUGUAAGAAUAAGGAUCGGCUAACUCCGUGCCAGCAGCCGCGGUAAUACGGAGGAUCCAAGCGUUAUCCGGAAUCAUUGGGUUUAAAGGGUCCGUAGUUGGAUAAUUAAGUCAGAGGUGAAAGUUUGCAGCUUAACUGUAAAAUUGCCUCUGAUACUGGUUAUCUUGAAUCAUUACGAAGUGGUUAGAAUAUUUAGUGUAGCGGUGAAACGCAUAGAUAUUACAUAGAAUUCCAAUUGCGAAGGCAGAUCAUUAAUAAUGUAUUGACCCUGAUGGUCGAAAGCGUAGGUAGCGAACGGGAUUAGAUACCCCGGUAGUCUACGCCGUAAACGAUGGAUACUAGCUGUUGGCCUUCGGUUCAGUGGUUAAGCGAAAGUGAUAAGUAUCCCACCUGGGGAGUACGUUCGCAAGAAUGCAACUCAAA